CGUCAACACGCGGGCGGCCCGCAGCUCCGCGGCGCCCCCAGCGGCCAGGCGCCCCAGCGCCCCGCCCGUCCCUCCCCCGCGCCGCUGACCCCGCGUCCUGCCUGCUGUCAGGGAGGGGCCGGGAGGGGCUCCGCAGCAGGACCCGGCUCUGACAGCCUGAACCCGGAGUUUGUUGGGGUGCAGUAGGACUUCUCAGAGCCUUGAACAGGCUGAAAGGGUGCGCUGGGACAAAGCCUCUCCCAGGUACCUUUGAUCAAAAACCACCUCCCUGGCCCGCAGGACUUAUUCACCAGCAGCCGAGCCCGACUGGGAGACGUCGCAGGCAGGGUGUGGUUUUGGAACUGACUACCGGUACCUCGGGGAUGUCGCGGGUUUGGUCCAGACCCCCGCAGUAAGGUCUGGAGUCCACCACGCCGUGGCUAUAAAAAGCUCAGCCCUGCGGAUCAUGAGAGAGGUCAGCGGGCCGUGGGCAAGCCACCAUUCCCUGGUGAGUAGCCCCCACUGUCCCCUUGGGGAGCAGGAAUCAGGCACGGAGAUGACAGGCAGAAUGACUCAGUUUGUUAAAUGUGUUAAAUUUAGAAAUCUCCCUCUUCCUGGUGUUUUAGAUACUUGCAGUAUUUAAGAGACGCUGGGAUACCAGAUCGUCCAACAGACUGGCCCUGUGCUUCUACUCGAAAAUUUGUAAUAAUUAUUCAGGUUUGUAAUUUUCAGUUGAAUGACGUCAUUUUAUUAAGUGUGAACAGCGUCGGC
rnacentral:lncRNA from 9 species